GCAACUAGUUCUCACAGCGUAGCGCCGUCUUGGCCUCAAAGCCUUUUGUUGCGCCACAUUGCUGCGUUCUAUUGCUUGCUAUAUUAAAGACGGACUCCAAGAAUGCUGUGGUAUUACAAUGUGACCAAUAUGCGUUCAUUUCACCCCGUCGACAU
rnacentral:snoRNA from 1 species